CUACAAAACAUACCACAUGAUGAGUAUCUUGUAUGAUCUAAAACAGAAAUUAAUUAAUCGGAACAGCCUACAUGAUAAUUAAUUAAUAGGCUAACCUAACAUGCAUUUCGAUAGUAUUUUCAUCACCUAAAGAUAGUACGUAGCAUAAAUACCCCAAACAGCCGACAUGAUAUUUAACAUAUGUGCUAACCAAUUACACACCCCCAUGACAUUCUCUUCAUCUAAAAUCUGCAAUGAAAUAAUGGAACCACCCCACAUGAUAAUUAGAUAUUUAACUUAUGUGCUAACCAAUUAUGCAACCCCGGCCAUGGCAUUCUAUUCAUCUAAAAUCUGCAAUGAAAAUAAUGGAACCAACCACACGAUAAUUAGCUCCUAUGCUAAUCUAACAUGCAUUCCUUUAGUGUUUUCAUCAUCUAAAGCAAACAAUAAUAUAAUAGACACCCCAAUAAAAAUGGACAGCAACAAGAUACGACUGAAAUCAAAAUAGACAGCAAUAAAAUAAAUAGAUUAACUUCUAUGUUAAUCUAACAUACAUUCCGGUAGUGUUUUCAUCACCUAAAGCAAACAAUAAGAGAAUAGACCCCCAAUAAAAUAGACAGCAAUAAAAUACGACGGAAAUCAAAAUAGACAGCAAUAAAAAUAGAUUAGCUCCUAUGCUAAUCUAACAUGCAUUCUUGUGGUGUUUUCAUCACCUAAAGCAAACAAUAAAUUAAUAGACCCCCAAUAAAAUAGACAGCAACAAUUACAUGCUGCAAUAACACUAAACAACAAUUAAAAAUGGGCAGCAAUUACAACAUAGACAGCCACAACUUAAAGGUAGCAAUCCUUCAUCACUUAAAGUAAACAAUCAAAUUAAUAAUAGACCCCCAAUAAAAAUAGACAGCAACAAUUACAGGCUGCAAUGACACUAAACAACAAUUAAAAGUGGGCAGCAAUUACAAUAUAGACAGCCACAACUUAAAGGUAGCAAUCCCAACCAAACCAAGUUGUCAACAUAACCAACAUAACCAACAUUUGGUAAAUCCUUGGAUUGGAUGACGCAAGUGAUUUGAGUAUCCUACUGUCCUUCUACUACAUUAUCAUCCUUGAACAAGUUCAUCAAGAUUAGAUCUAUUUCUGAUCUUCUCUCAUUCAUCCUCUACCGUACCCUUCACCCAUAUCCUUUACCGAAAUUAAAAUCUAAAGUUCUACAUAUCUCUUCCGCUGCCUGUCGAGCCUCACACCUACCACACCACGACACUGGUGCCCCCUUACAAAUCCAAGCCAUGAUGCCCCGUCCUCCCUUUCUCCUAGUCGCCCUCCUUCUUCCCCCUCCUCCUUCCGUUUUCCCUUUUUCUGUUUCAAUCUCUUCCUUUUUAUCAUUUUAUUUUUAUAUUUUUAUAUUCAUAGUAAUUUACGUUUUUACCCUUAAUCGGGUUACAUCCAAUUAAUAACCGGUUACAUAAAAUAACCGGUUAUUACAGAUCCAAUUCUGGCCGCCGACUACGAGCAACGGACUUCGGACCUAUUUCAUUUAUAACGUUGAAGUACACCGCGAAAUCGCAUGGGUUUCUUCUCUAUGUGACUUCUUUUCUUAUUUACAUUUGGAGGC
rnacentral:lncRNA from 1 species